UGGGGAAUAUUGCACAAUGGGCGCAAGCCUGAUGCAGCCAUGCCGCGUGUAUGAAGAAGGCCUUCGGGUUGUAAAGUACUUUCAGUCGGGAGGAAGGUGUCAAGGUUAAUAACCUUGGCAAUUGACGUUACCGACAGAAGAAGCACCGGCUAACUCCGUGCCAGCAGCCGCGGUAAUACGGAGGGUGCAAGCGUUAAUCGGAAUUACUGGGCGUAAAGCGCACGCAGGCGGUUGAUUGAGUCAGAUGUGAAAUCCCCGGGCUUAACCCGGGAAUUGCAUCUGAUACUGGUCAGCUAGAGUAUUGUAGAGGGGGGUAGAAUUCCAUGUGUAGCGGUGAAAUGCGUAGAGAUGUGGAGGAAUACCGGUGGCGAAGGCGACCCCCUGGACAAAGACUGACGCUCAGGUGCGAAAGCGUGGGGAGCAAACAGG
rnacentral:rRNA from 1 species